rnacentral:rRNA from 1 species
CUGACCGAUAGUGAACCAGUACCGUGAGGGAAAGGCGAAAAGAACCCCGGCGAGGGGAGUGAAAAAGAACCUGAAACCGUGUACGUACAAGCAGUGGGAGCACCCUUUGGGGUGUGACUGCGUACCUUUUGUAUAAUGGGUCAGCGACUUAUAUUCUGUAGCAAGGUUAACCGAAUAGGGGAGCCGGAGGGAAACCGAGUCUUAAUUGGGCGUUAA